GAUGAACGCUGGCGGCGUGCCUAAUACAUGCAAGUCGAGCGAACGGACGAGAAGCUUGCUUCUCUGAUGUUAGCGGCGGACGGGUGAGUAACACGUGGAUAACCUACCUAUAAGACUGGGAUAACUUCGGGAAACCGGAGCUAAUACCGGAUGAUAUUUUGAACCGCAUGGUUCAAAAGUGAAAGACGGUCUUGCUGUCACUUAUAGAUGGAUCCGCGCUGCAUUAGCUAGUUGGUAAGGUAACGGCUUACCAAGGCAACGAUGCAUAGCCGACCUGAGAGGGUGAUCGGCGGCAGUGGAAGUGAGACACGGUCCAGACUCCUACGGGAGGCAGCAGUAGGGAAGCUUCCGCAAUGGGCGAAAGCCUGACGGAGCAACGCCGCGUGAGUGAUGAAGGUCUUCGGAUCGUAAAACUCUGUUAUUAGGGAAGAACAUAUGUGUAAGUAACUGUGCACAUCUUGACGGUACCUAAUCAGAAAGCCACGGCUAACUACGUG
rnacentral:rRNA from 1 species